AACGAACGCUGGCGGCAUGCCUAACACAUGCCAGUCGAACGAGACCUUCGGGUCUAGUGGCGCACGGGUGCGUAACGCGUGGGAAUCUGCCCUUGGGUUCGGAAUAACAGUUGGAAACGACUGCUAAUACCGGAUGAUGACGUAAGUCCAAAGAUUUAUCGCCCAAGGAUGAGCCCGCGUAGGAUUAGCUAGUUGGUGAGGUAAAGGCUCACCAAGGCGACGAUCCUUAGCUGGUCUGAGAGGAUGAUCGGCCACACUGGGACUGAGACACGGCCCAGACUCCUACGGGAGUCAGCAGUGGGGAAUAUUGGACAAUGGGCGAAAGCCUGAUCCAGCAAUGCCGCGUGAGUGAUGAAGGCCUUAGGGUUGUAAAGCUCUUUUACCCGGGAUGAUAAUGACAGUACCGGGAGAAUAAGCUCCGGCUAACUCCGUG
rnacentral:rRNA from 1 species